UAGGUAAACAUUAUCUAUCUGCUUUCUUCUCUCCACUCAAAUGGGGUGGCUUCAAUCCCUCUUCUCUCCCCUCAAGAAGCUUUGGGUUCGACUCCAUUCAGCCCAUCACAAGAGUAGAGGAAUAUACAUAUUGUAUGAAGAUGUGAAGUCAUGUCCCUAUGAAGAUGUGCAUGUACUUUGGUCUAUUUUGGUG